AUUGAAGUUAAACCGGACAUCGAACAUGCCGCGAAUUUAGCACCCAUCACAACUUCAACGUUCAAAAUAUGUUGAAAAAAAUUACCACAUGUUGAAUAUUGGCGGAGUUGAACGAUAGCGUCAAAUCUCCGCCAAUAUUAAUUAAGCUAACACAAGACAACCCCCCGGCCAAAUUCAUUCGUGUCCAGACCUCUAGAACAUAUCACAUGACGCAAGCCGAGGAUCGAAUUCGCCGCAUCUUGUCGCUGUAUUGGAGGCCGUAUAUUCACCAUAAUAUUCGCGUAUAUUCGCUUGUUUGUCUUAAAUU